CCAUGUUCUUUCUUUCUUUCCACUGAAACUGAAGAGUGUGACUUCUAAUAAUUUCUCUCACACACAAAAAACUGGAAUAAAAAUAAAGAAAAAGAAGAGAGAAAGAAAUUAAAUUUAUUUCUUUUUUUAGUCUGUUUAAAAAAAAGGAGUGAGAAAAAGAAAAAAUGGCUAGAGCGCCUUGUUGUGACAAGAAGAGCUUGAAAAAAAGGCCAUGGGCUCAUGAAGAAGACCAAAUUCUCAUCUCUUACAUUCAAAAACAUGGUCAUGGCAAUUGGCACGCGCUCCCUAAACAAGCUGGCAUAUUGCUUGCUAGACCUAGCUCCUGGUCCAAAAAUACUAAGCUCAUCCCUAUUAUACUUCAAGCUCUUGGCCUCCUGCCUUGAAAUUUGGUACGAGUUCAUGAGGACUUCCUCUGGCAUGGCUCGGAUAGCCGAUAACCGCCCGGCUAACGGACUAAUCAUCGCGUUGUCGUUGGUUUUGAAAGCGAUGUAAUCGAGUCCUUGUUCCCCUGCCUUCUUCACUAUGGCAAAGUUUUGAGGCACGACAAUUAGUUGCCCCUGCCUCACAUCGUCAUCGAACACGGAUUUCCCCGCGUUCCCGACCACUUGGAACCGGCCGCUUCCACGGAUGAUGUAGAUGAUUGAGUGAGCAUUCAUGUUCCAAUGUGGUGCUACUAUGGCAUUCUGUAAUUACACGCAAAAAAUGUCAUACGCUACUUCAAGGAUGGAAAUUUAACUUAUAUACAUUGAUCAUAUACUAUA